GCCAAGUGGUUAGAGUGUAGAGGAGGCAGGUAGCCUAGUGGUUAGAGUGUAGAGGAGGCAGGUAGCCUAGUGGUUAGAGUGUAGAGGAGGCAGGUAGCCUAGUGGUUAGAGUGUAGAGGAGGUAGGUAGCCUAGUGGUUAGAGUGUAGAGGAGGCAGGGUAGCCUAGUGGUUAGAGUGUAGAGGAGGUAGCCUAGUGGUUAGAGUGUAGAGGAGGCAGGGUAGCCUAGUGGUUAGAGUGUAGAGGCAGGUAGCCUAGUGGUUAGAGUGUAGAGGAGGCAGGUAGCCUAGUGGUUAGAGUGUAGAGGAGGCAGGUAGCCUGGUGGUUAGAGUGUAGAGGUGGCAGGUAGCCUAGUGGUUAGAGUGUAGAGGAGGUAGGUAGCCUAGUGGUUAGAGUGUAGAGGAGGCAGGUAGCCUAGUGGUUAGAGUGUAGAGGAGGUAGGUAGCCUAGUGGUUAGAGUGUAGAGGAGGUAGGUAGCCUAGUGGUUAGAGUGUAGAGGAGGCAGGUAGCCUAGUGGUUAGAGUGUAGAGGAGGCAGGGUAGCCUAGUGGUUAGAGUGUAGAGGAGGCAGGUAGCCUAGCGGUUAGAUUGUAGAGGUGGCAGGG
ensembl:lncRNA